GCGAGAGUGGCGGAACUGGCAGACGCGCUGGACUUAGGAUCCAGUGGGAGAAAUCCUAUGCGGGUUCAACUCCCGCCUCUCGCA
rnacentral:tRNA from 4 species